ensembl:miRNA MIR346 microRNA 346
GUCUGUCUGCCCGCAUGCCUGCCUCUCUGUUGCUCUGAAGGAGGCAGGGGCUGGGCCUGCAGCUGCCUGGGCAGAGCGGCUCCUGC